rnacentral:rRNA from 1 species
UACGGAGGGUGCGAGCGUUGUCCGGAAUCACUGGGCGUAAAGGGCGCGUAGGCGGCCCGUCAAGCGUGUGGUGAAAGCCCGGGGCUCAACCCCGGGUCGGCCGUGCGGACUGGCGGGCUCGAGCACUGUAGGGGCGGGUGGAAUUCCGGGUGUAGCGGUGGAAUGCGUAGAGAUCCGGAGGAACACCGACGGCGUAGGCAGCGCCCUAGACGAGACCUGACGCUCAGGCACGAAAGCGCGGGGAGCGAACAGG